GAUGAACGCUGGCGGCGUGCCUAACACAUUCAAGUCGAACGGUGACGAGGGCUUCGGUCCUCUGAUCAGUGGCGGACGGGUGAGUAACGCGUGAGCAACCUGCCUCUGUGAGUGGAAUAACGUCCGGAAACAGACGCUAAUACCGCAUAACACACCGAGAUCGCAUGUUUUUGGUGUCAAAGAUUUAUCGCACAGAGAUGGGCUCGCGUUGGAUUAGUUAGUUGGUGAGGUAACGGCUCACCAAGACCGCGAUCCAUAGCCGGACUGAGAGGUGGAACGGCCACAUUGGAACUGAGAAACGGUCCAGACUCCUACGGGAGGCAGCAGUGGGGAAUAUUGGGCAAUGGGCGCAAGCCUGACCCAGCGACGCCGCGUGAGGGAAGAAGGUCUUCGGAUUGUAAACCUCUGUUGAUAGGGACGAAGAAAUGACGGUACCUAUCGAGGAAGCCACGGCUAACUACGUGCCAGCAGCCGCGGUAACAC
rnacentral:rRNA from 1 species